AUAAAGGCGGAAAGGCAACUCCAGAGGUCACUCUGAGCUCCAGGCAGAAGCCCCACGUGCCAGGCCCCAUCUGCACCAGGCACCCACACUGUGCACCCCC